CAUUAGAUAAUUUAUUUAGAAUAUUGGCUUUGGGAGCCGGAGGCAAUGUGUUAGCAUUUCUUUUGA
rnacentral:tRNA from 1 species